rnacentral:snRNA from 1 species
GGAUGUGAGGGCGAUCUGGCUGCGACAUCUGUCACCCCAUUGAUCGCCAGGGUUGAUUCAGCUGAUCUGGCUGGCUAGGCGGGUGUCCCCUUCCUCCCUCACCGCUCCAUGUGCGUCCCUCCCGAAGCUGCGCGCUCGGUCCAAGAGGACAACCUUCCCCAAUAGAGGAGAGGACCGUUCUUCAGUCAAGGGUAUACAAGUAGCUGCGCUCCCCUGCUAGAACCUCCAAACAAGCUCUCAAGGUCAACUCAGUUCAUGAUCUUGGGGUCUUGGGAUUGAGCCCCU